rnacentral:rRNA from 1 species
UACGGAGGGUGCGAGCGUUAUCCGGCCUCACUGGGUUUAAAGGGUGCGUAGGCGGGAUAGUAAGUCAGUGGUGAAAGCCCCGGGCUCAACUUGGGAAUUGCCAUUGAUACUGCUUUCCUUGAGUGCGAUUGAGGUGGGUAGAAUAUGUCAUGUAGCGGUGAAAUGCAUAGAUAUGACAUAGAAUACCGAUUGCGAAGGCAGCUCACUAAAUCGCAACUGACGCUGAGGCACGAAAGCGUGGGGAGCAAACAGG